CAUACAUUAAAACGUGAGACUGCGGAAGGCUCAGUAAAUCAGUUAUUAUCUAUUCGAAAGUACCCCCAUUGGAUAACCGUGGGAAAUCUAGAGCUAAUACAUGCGUUAAAGGCAUAGUGGCAACACUGUGUCUGCAUUUAUUGGAAAAAACCAAAUGCUCUGUGGUUGUGCAAGCAGCUGCAGCGUAGGGUGAGUCUAGAUAACUGAGCAAAUCGCAUGGCCUUGAGCCGGCGAUGUUUCGAUUGAAUUUCUGCCCUAUCAACUCGUUGGUAAGGUAGUGGCUUACCAAGGUUGCAACGGGUAACGGGGGAUCAGGGUUCGAUUCCGGAGAGGGAGCCUGAGAAACGGCUACCACAUCCAAGGAAGGCAGCAGGCGCGCAAAUUACCCAAUCCAGACAAUGGGAGGUGGUGACCAGAAGUACUAGGUAGUGGACAAUUGUCUGCUAACCCCGGAAUGAGCAUAAAGUAAAAAUUUAGUCGAGUAACAACUGGAGGGCAAGUCUGGUGCCAGCAGCCGCGGUAAUUCCAGCUCCAGUAGCAUGUCGUAAAGUUGUUGCGUUUAAAACGCUCGUAGUUGGAUCAUACAGUGGCGAACAGCUGAUGUGCGUUUACGGGCGUCGUAUUCAGCAGUGUGGUUUGAUCAGUUAAUUCUGGUCAGACUGUACUGCUGUUGUCCGUGGCGUACGUUGUUUGCUGGUCGUUACUACUUGCACGCGGGAAUGGUGAUUGGCCUUUAGUGCGCUGGUCGCUGUGUCUCGCGGAGUGUGCCUUGAAUAAAUCAGAGUGCUCAAAGCAGGCUGUUGCCUGAAUGAUACAGCAUGGAACGAACAAACGUGUAAAGUGCAUUAACGGGCCCGCUUGGGACUGUUGAUGCAUAUCACCUACCGCCAUGACGGAUGUUGGUUUCCGUAAUGGGGUGAUGAUUAAAACGAGCGGUUGGGGACAUUGGUAUUUGGCCGCGAGAGGUGAAAUUCUUAGACCGGCCAAGGACUAACAAAAGCGAAGGCAUUUGUCAAGACCGUCUCGAUUGAUCAAGAACGAUAGUGGGAGGUUCGAAGACGAUCAGAUACCGUCCUAGUUCCCACUUUAAACUAUGCCGACCCGGGAUCAGUUUUGAGCUAAAAACAACGCUCGAGGUUGGUCCCCCUGGGAAACCUUAAGUUUUUGGGUUACGGGGGGAGUAUGGUCGCAAGGCUGAAACUUAAAGGAAUUGACGGAAGGGCACCACCAGGGGUGGAGCCUGCGGCUUAAUUUGACUCAACACGGGAAAACUCACCGGUUCCGGACGUUAAAAGGAUAGACAGACUGAUAGAUCUUUCUUGAUAUGAUGUGUGGUGGUGCAUGGCCGUUCUUAGUUCGUGGAGUGAUCUGUCUGAUCGAUUUCGAUAACGAGCGAGACCCGAAUCUCUAUUUACGAUGCAGAAUGUCUGGUUUAUGACCAGACCUAACUGCAUGUCUCGCCAAAAGGUUCGCCCGAUGACGAGAUGUGUGGUCAAAACUUUUGCAUUGUCUCGUGCAGCAAUGUACGGGACUGCAUAGAGAGACAACUGUCUAUAAUUCUAAAAUCAGAGGAAGUCGGGCAAUAACAGGUCUGUGAUGCCCUUAGACGUACCGGGCUGCACGCGCGCUACAAUGAUAACGGCAACGAGUUAUCUGGGCCGAAAGGCUUGGGAAAUCUUGAAUCGUUAUCGUGAUGGGGAUUGUCCAUUGUAAGUUGGACAUGAAAUAGGAAUCCCUUGUACGUGCGCUUCAUCUAGAGCGCGCGGAAUGAGUCCCUGCCCUUUGUACACACCGCCCGUCGCUACUACCGAGUGAAUGGCGUCAUGAUGCGUUGGGACUGGACGCUUUUGGGUCGCAAGGCCUGAUCGUGCUAGGAUCAAUGUAAA
rnacentral:rRNA from 1 species